CCUACGGGUGGCAGCAGUGAGGAAUAUUGGUCAAUGGCCGGAAGGCUGAACCAGCCAAGCCGCGUGAAGGACGAAGGUGCCAAGCAUUGUAAACUUCUUUUGUCAAGGGACAAAAUCAGGCUCGAGAGCCUGACCGAGGGUACUUGAAGAAAAAGCAUCGGCUAACUCCGUGCCAGCCGCCGCGGUAAUACGGAGGAUGCGAGGGUUAUCGGGAUUUGUUGGGUUUAAAGGGUGCGUAGGCGGGCUGUUAAGUCAGCGGUAAAAGCCCGGGGCUCAACCCGGGCGAGCCGUUGAAACUGGCUAUCUUGAGAUGUCGAGAGGUAUGCGGAAUGCGCAGUGUAGCGGUGAAAUGCUUAGAGAUGGCGCAGAACUCCGAUGGCGAAGGCAGCAUACCGGCGGCGAUCUGACGCUGAGGCACGAAAGCGUGGGUAUCGAACAGGAUUGGAUACCCUUGUAGUC
rnacentral:rRNA from 1 species